GCCAAACCGUAAAAUUACUCACACCCAUAGCGCCAGGGUACUACGAGCCUAGCUUAAAACCCAAAGGACUUGACGGUGUUCCAUCCAACUAGAGGAGCUUGUCCUAUGAUCGAUAACCCACGUUAUACCCAACCAUUUUUUGCUUUUCAGCCUGUAUACCUCCGUCACAAGCUUACCGUGUGAACGCACAAUAGUAGGCCUAAUGGUUAAUCACCUACACCACCACGCCAGGUCAAGGUGCAGCUUAUAAAGUGGAAGAGAUGAGCUACAAUUUUUACCUUAGAACAAACAAAUGCUGAAUGAAAUACAGCUAAAAAGGUGGAUUUAGAAGUAAGUGAGGAAUAGAGAGCCUCACUAAAAUCGGCCCUGGAAUGUGUACAAACCGCCCGUCACCCUCUUCAAUAACCCUAUUUAGUUUAAUAACACAAUCGGCUACUUUAGAUGAGGCAAGUCGUAACAUGGUAAGUAUACUGGAAAGUGUACUUGGAACAACAAAAUGUAGCUUAAUCUAAAGCUUUCCGCUUACACCGUAAAACUGUCUGUGUGACUCAGACCAUUUUGAGCCUAAAAUCUAGCCCUUAUAUCCCCCCACAACUGUUAAUAACAAAAUCAUUUUAGCUUUUUAGUAGAGGCGAUCGAAAAAUUUCUAGGAGCCUAAGAAAUAGUACCGCAAGGGAAAAAUGAAAUAAAGUGAAAUAGCAUAAAGCCUGUCGUAGCAGAGACCCCAACUCG
rnacentral:rRNA from 1 species